rnacentral:lncRNA from 1 species
UGGUGGCUACUUUCUUGGGUGAGAGUGCUCAACAAGAAAGAGUCGCACUGUGAUUCUGUGUUAGAUUGCCGAGUAUCUACAAGGAUCAGAGGGUGAUCAAUAGGAAAGAGAUCAUUAAGAUAGAUAGGUUUCGGGGAUGAAACUGGACAAUCUGUAAUUGAUUCUUUCUAUUGGAGAAGAAAAUCUGAAAUCCGAUUGGAUUUUCAGGACUGGAUGUAGGUUGUCAAGUUGACAACUGAACCAGUAUAAAUUCUUGGUGCAAUCUUCUCUAACCCUUAACUCCUUUAAUUUUCUAUCUUGCAAUAUCUGUAUAUGUGAUUAAUAUUAGAUGCAUGUUAAACAUAUUCUG